rnacentral:rRNA from 1 species
GUCUGCGGCCAUACCGCCCUGAACGCACCUGAUCUCGUCUGAUCUCAGAAGCUAAGCAGGGUCGGGCCUGGUUAGUACUUGGAUAGGAGAAGAUGAAGUUACAGCCU